rnacentral:lncRNA from 10 species
UGUGCCCAGCGGUUUCCUCAGGCUAACUCCUCCCGCCUCCUUCUGCCAGCCCCACCAUGGCUGAGCCCACAGCCAGAGGAGACAACGCCUUCUGGGGAGCUGCUGGUCCUGGAAGCUGCGGGAGAAGGGCUUCCCUUGGGGUGUGGACCCAGCGUCAUCGGAAACAAAAGCCAAGAAUGCUGAGGGGCCCCCGGGGCCAGUGACAGCGGCUGGCCGGGCGCCAGCAAUCACCAUAGGCGAGUCGGGGAGCUGGCGGGUGGCCAGGAAGUGUCCCUACGGCUGCCUGGUGGGCAUGUGGGCGGCCGGGCGGGCGGGCAGCCCAGGGAAAAGGCCCCUUCCGGGGGAGCCCACGGGGAAGCAAGGUCACCCUCAGACCCCAGCCCGUCUGUGCACGUGUGAGCGUGGGGGCGGGGGGCAGAGGGAGCCCCACUCAGAGGUGGGGAAACGGAGGCUCAGCGGGGAGUAGCGACUGCAUGUGAUACUCACAGUGGCCCCUGUGCUCCCCGGGGACACGGACACAGCCGUCCCCACGUCCUGCGUCCAGCCCAGGCCUGGCACAGGGAGGAGGGAAGGGCCAGGCACUGUGGGAACUCUGUGUUGUGAAGCUGCCCAUGGCCUCGGGUUCAGGUGGAUGCUGCCCCGUUGUAUCCACGUGGAGAUGGGCCCCAGCGAUGCUCCAGGGCGGGAACCUGACUCUGGGCUCAGACUGCUCCUGACUUCUGAGCUUCCCACCUGUCCGGGCGAGGCCUGCAUGGGCCGGUGGAGGUCAGGAGAGGCAGAGCUUGGCUGACUGGGCCCCCGAGGACACACGGGGGACAGGGUGGAUGCUGACCUGGGCCCGCGUCUUGCCCAGGCUGGGCCAGUGGAGAAGGCCCUGGUGGAGGCGUCCACCCCUCCUGGGUCCCCAGGGCACCGUCCCAUCUGCAGCCCAACGGACAUGCUGUUCUGCCCCAGCACAGGGGCUGUAACCUCGGUGCUCGGACGGACUCAGGACAGACGCCGGCGCUCCGAUGCAGUCAGGACAGACGCCAGCGCUCGGACGGACUCAGGACAGACGCCGGCGCUCGGACGGACUCAGGACAGACGCGGGCGCUCGGACCGACUCAGGACAGACGCGGGCGCUCGGACGGACUCCGGACAGACGCGGGCGCUCGAAGGACUCCGGACAGACGCCGGCGCUCGGAUGGACUCUGGAUAGACGCCGGCGCUCGGACGGACUCAGGAUAGACGCCGGCAGACCCACACCUCACUGAGGGCCAGGGAAGAGCAAUGCUGCCCAGGAGGGCCCGUCCACCUGUGGGGCCUGGAGAUGCAGGACAAGCAUCAUUUGACUCCAGGGAACAGCAAUGCCGGCCGGGAGUGCCCAUCCAUGGGAAGAUGCUGGAGAAUCGACGUGGUUCCUGGUCCUGCUGCUGGGUCAGGACCUCAGAGGCCCCUGGAGUAUGUGCCUAGCCCACCCGCCCCCAGGCCCUCGCCUUCCAUAACCAACUCAAAAUGAAAACAGACCAAACCAUACAAUAAAAACGUGCAAUUUUAACAGUGGGGGAGCCUAACGUGGGCGGAAGGCGCGGGCUGCCCGGGGUUGGAUUCCGGGCCUUUCCUUACCAGCUGCACGACCUUGGGGACGCUGCGUACAUCUCCCUGUCCUCGAUUUCUCUUAUCUGUGAAAUGGGGAGAUCACAGAACCUCUUUCAAGGUCCCUGUGAGUGUGUUCAUAGAUACAAACCCUUAGAACGAUGUCUGGCAUUAGACACAGUGAUCAACAAUCAGGUGUUAUCAUUGAACGUGACACACGGAGCCCGUGUCUGCUGGAAUGAAAGCAGGUUCCUUCCGGGUUUGGGCUGCUCCUGAGUUCGCUUUGUGCCUGUGGGUCUGGACAGUCCAGGCCUCUGGGGCCUUUCCCCAGGGCUCCAGCCAGACAAUGGUGGACACGGCGCAGGGGCAGAGGGUGCUGGCCGG